AGGGUUUGAUCCUGGCUCAGGAUAAACGCUGGCGGCGCGCCUAAUGCAUGCAAGUCGAACGGUUCCGAGUUCGCUCGGGAUAGUGGCGAACGGGUGAGUAACGCGUGGGCGACCUGCCCCCCAGUGGGGAAUAACCCUGCGAAAGCGGGGCUAAUACCGCAUGAUGUGCCGGUUUGGAAGCCGGUCACCAAAGCCUUCGGGCGCUGGGGGAGGGGCCUGCGUCCUAUCAGCUUGUUGGUGAGGUAACGGCCUACCAAGGCGAUGACGGGUAGCUGGUCUGAGAGGACGGUCAGCCACACGGGCACUGAGACACGGGCCCGACUCCUACGGGAGGCAGCAGCAGGGGAUCUUGGGCAAUGGGCGAAAGCCUGACCCAGCGACGCCGCGUGGGGGAAGACGGCCUUCGGGUUGUAAACCCCUUUUCUCGGGGAAGAGAGAGGACGGUACCCGAGGAAUAAGUCUCGGCCAACUACGUGCCAGCAGCCGCGGUAAUACGUAGGAGGCAAGCGUUAUCCGGAUUUACUGGGCGUAAAGGGGAUGUAGGCGGCUUAUCAAGUCCGUGGUGAAAGCUCCCGGCUCAACUGGGAGAGGUCUUCGGAUACUGGUGAGCUUGAGGGCAGCAGAGGGAGGUGGAAUUCCCGGUGUAGCGGUGAAAUGCGUAGAUAUCGGGAGGAACACCAGUGGCGAAAGCGGCCUCCUGGGCUGCCCCUGACGCUGAGGUCCGAAAGCGUGGGGAGCAAACCGGAUUAGAUACCCGGGUAGUCCACGCCCUAAACGAUGGACACUAGGUCUGGGGGGUAUCGACCCUCUCCGGGCCGAAGCUAACGCUUUAAGUGUCCCGCCUGGGAAGUACGGCCGCAAGGCUAAAACUCAAAGGAAUUGACGGGGACCCGCACAAGCAGCGGAGCGUGUGGUUUAAUUCGAUGCUAAGCGAAGAACCUUACCAGGGUUUGACAUGCUGGAAGUAGAAACCCGAAAGGGGGACGGCCUGUAAAGUCAGGAACCAGCACAGGUGCUGCAUGGCUGUCGUCAGCUCGUGCCGUGAGGUGUUGGGUUAAGUCCCGCAACGAGCGCAACCCUCGCCGUUAGUUGUUUUCUCUAACGGGACUGCCGGGCAAAACCCGGAGGAAGGCGGGGAUGACGUCAAGUCAGCAUGGCCCUUAUGUCCUGGGCUACACACACGCUACAAUGGGCGGUACAAUGGGACGCCAGGGCGCAAGCCUGAGCUAAUCCCCUAAAACCGUCCUCAGUUCGGAUUGCAGGCUGCAACCCGCCUGCAUGAAGUCGGAGUUGCUAGUAACCGCAGGUCAGCACACUGCGGUGAAUACGUUCCCGGGUCCUGUACACACCGCCCGUCACGUCAUGGGAGUUGGUAACACCCCAAGCCGGUGGGCUAACCCGCAAGGGAGGCAGCCGUCCAAGGUGGGACCAGCGACCGGGACGAAGUCGUAACAAGGUAGCCG
rnacentral:rRNA from 1 species